rnacentral:rRNA from 1 species
UACGUAGGGUGCAAGCGUUGUCCGGAUUUAUUGGGCGUAAAGAGCUCGUAGGCGGUCUGUCGCGUCGGAUGUGAAAACCCAGGGCUCAACCCUGGGCCUGCAUUCGAUACGGGCAGACUAGAGUGUGGCAGGGGAGACUGGAAUUCCUGGUGUAGCGGUGAAAUGCGCAGAUAUCAGGAGGAACACCGGUGGCGAAGGCGGGUCUCUGGGCCAAUACUGACGUGAGGAGCGAAAGCGUGGGGAGCGAACAGG